rnacentral:rRNA from 1 species
CUGCCAGUCGAGCGCAGGAAGCAAGUUGAUCCCCUUCGGGGGUGACGCUUGUGGAAUGAGCGGCGGACGGGUGAGUAACACGUGGGCAACCUGCCUGUAAGACUGGGAUAACCCCGGGAAACCGGGGCUAAUACCGGAUAAUACUUUCUUUUGCAUAAAGGAAAGUUGAAAGGCGGCUUCGGCUGUCACUUACAGAUGGGCCCGCGGCGCAUUAGCUAGUUGGUGAGGUAACGGCUCACCAAGGCGACGAUGCGUAGCCGACCUGAGAGGGUGAUCGGCCACACUGGGACUGAGACACGGCCCAGACUCCUACGGGAGGCAGCAGUAGGGAAUCUUCCGCAAUGGACGAAAGUCUGACGGAGCAACGCCGCGUGAGUGAUGAAGGUUUUCGGAUCGUAAAACUCUGUUGUUAGGGAAGAACAAGUUGGAUAGUAACUGACCCAACCUUGACGGUACCUAACCAGAAAGCCACGGCUAACUACGUGCCAGCAGCCGCGGUAAUACGUAGGUGGCAAGCGUUGUCCGGAAUUAUUGGGCGUAAAGCGCUCGCAGGCGGUCCUUUAAGUCUGAUGUGAAAUCUCGCGGCUCAACCGCGAACGGUCAUUGGAAACUGGAGGACUUGAGUACAGAAGAGGAGAGUGGAAUUCCACGUGUAGCGGUGAAAUGCGUAGAGAUGUGGAGGAACACCAGUGGCGAAGGCGACUCUCUGGUCUGUAACUGACGCUGAGGAGCGAAAGCGUGGGGAGCGAACAGGAUUAGAUACCCUGGUAGUCCACGCCGUAAACGAUGAGUGCUAGGUGUUAGGGGGUUUCCGCCCCUUAGUGCUGAAGUUAACGCAUUAAGCACUCCGCCUGGGGAGUACGGCCGCAAGGCUGAAACUCAAAAGAAUUGACGGGGGCCCGCACAAGCGGUGGAGCAUGUGGUUUAAUUCGAAGCAACGCGAAGAACCUUACCAGGUCUUGA